CCUAUAUAGCUUAUAUAAUAGAGCGUUGCAUUGAAGCUGCAAGGGAAAUUAGUUUAAUUUGUAGGUA
rnacentral:tRNA from 1 species